rnacentral:rRNA from 1 species
UGGGGAAUAUUGCACAAUGGGCGCAAGCCUGAUGCAGCCAUGCCGCGUGUGUGAAGAAGGCCUUCGGGUUGUAAAGCACUUUCAGCGGGGAGGAAGGCGUUAAGGUUAAUAACCUUGGCGAUUGACGUUACCCGCAGAAGAAGCACCGGCUAACUCCGUGCCAGCAACCGCGGUAAUACGGAGGGUGCAAGCGUUAAUCGGAAUUACUGGGCGUAAAGCGCACGCAGGCGGUCUGUCAAGUCGGAUGUGAAAUCCCCGGGCUCAACCUGGGAACUGCAUUCGAAACUGGCAGGCUAGAGUCUUGUAGAGGGGGGUAGAAUUCCAGGUGUAGCGGUGAAAUGCGUAGAGAUCUGGAGGAAUACCGGUGGCGAAGGCGGCCCCCUGGACAAAGACUGACGCUCAGGUGCGAAAGCGUGGGGAGCAAACAGGAUUAGAUACCCUGGUAGUUCACGCCGUAAACGAUGUCGAUUUGGGGGUUGUGCCCUUGAGGCGUGGCUUCCGGAGCUAACGCGUUAAAUCGACCGCCUGGGGAGUACGGCCGCAAGGUUA